rnacentral:rRNA from 1 species
AUUGAACGCUGGCGGAAUGCUUAACACAUGCAAGUCGAGCGGGGUGUAGCAAUACACCUAGCGGCGGACGGGUGAGGAAUACAUAGGAAUCUGCCUCAGAGCGGGGGAUAGCCCGGGGAAACCCGGAUUAAUACCGCAUGAUGUCGCAAGACCAAAGUGGGGGACCGCAAGGCCCCACACUCUGAGAUGAGCCUAUGUCCGAUUAGCUAGUUGGCGGGGUAAUAGCCCACCAAGGCGACGAUCGGUAGCUGGUCUGAGAGGACGAUCAGCCACACCG